rnacentral:rRNA from 1 species
CCACGAAAGCUGAGGAACAAACUGGGAUUAGAUACCCCACUAUGCUCAGCCAUAAACCUAGACGUCCAGCUACAAUUAGACGUCCGCCCGGGUACUACGAGCAUUAGCUUGAAACCCAAAGGACCUGACGGUGCCUUAGACCCCCCUAGAGGAGCCUGUUCUAGAACCGAUAACCCCCGUUAAACCUCACCACUUCUAGCCACCCCAGCCUAUAUACCGCCGUCGUCAGCUUACCCUGUGAAGGCAACAAAAGUAAGCAAGAUGGGCACAGCCCAGAACGUCAGGUCGAGGUGUAGCGUACGAAGCGGGAAGAAAUGGGCUACAUUUUCUACAAUAGAAUACUACGGACAUGCAACAUGAAAUAGUGCUUGAAGGAGGAUUUAGUAGUAAAAAGGAAGCAGAGUGUCCUUUUGAACCCGGCUCUGAGGCGCGUACACACCGCCCGUCACUCUCCCCUGUCAAAAUGCACUAAAGAUACCUAACACCAAAGCGCUGACAAGG